rnacentral:rRNA from 1 species
UUUGACACAUCUGACCUCAAAUCAGGUAGGACUACC